GUGCCGCUCCCGGGUCCAGCGGUCGCGCGCGCCCUGGAGUCCUGUCCUGGUUCUGGCGGCUGAGGGCCGGGUGGCGCAGGCGGCCUCCGGCUGUGCCCAUGGGAACUAAAACCUUCGGUUCUAGAAGAGCCGGGGGAGAGGCUCCGGGAAGACCGAAUUCUUCAGAAAUCGCAGAGAGACCUUGGACCGGAUCCUUCCCUGCAGGGCUGCGUCGGGGAAGCGCCGGCACAAGUAUAUUCAGCGACUUCCUUGGAAGCGCCUACGUUAGAAUACUACAAACUUACAAGCUAGUUGAUCAGUUUACCUCCCACUAGAAAAGACAGUAUGGGAAGGCAGAGGCCGCGUGGCCUGGACCCCCGUCUUUGCUGUCAGGCUUCCAGAGUGAAGGUGGGGCUCAUAUUCAGACUAGUUCCUGGUCCAUUCAUUCUUUCAGUCAGUCAGUCAGUCAUUCCUACAGGGCCAGAAACUUUUUUUUUUUUUGAGACAGAGUUUCGCUCUUGUUGCCCAGACUGCUCACCGCAACCUCCGUCUCCUGGGUUCAAGAGAUUCUCCUGCCUCAGCCUCCCGAGUAGCUGGGAUUACAGGCAUGUGCCAGCACACCUGGCUAAUUUUUGUAUUCUUAGUAGAGACGGAGUUUCUCCAUGUUGGCCAGGCUGGUCUCGAAUUCCCGACCUCAAGUGAUCUGCCCGCCUCGGCCUCCCGAAGUGCUGCAAUUACAGGCGUGAGCCACCGCGCCCGGCCCAGAAACAUGUUUUGAAGGGCAGGCACCGCACAGGGUGCUGGAGACAGACUGAAGGAAACUGCACCUCUCAGUGACUCAAGAGAGAUUUGUUGAGUAUCUACCAAGUGCCUAGCGCUGUUCUUGUCCCUGGGGAUUCAGCCUCUGGAUUGGGACCUGCAGCCCAGAGAAGGGAAAUGGGGGAAAUCCAAGUUCCCAGGUACAUCAUGAUACCCUUCCAGCCUCUCCUUCCUGGAAAUUGCCAUCACCAGCGGCCAUAGCACCCCCAUGGGACCUGGGGGAUGGAGUUGGAAGCCCCCUCCGGCAACACUGGCCAGAUUGGAGAGACCAGCAGGGAAGCUCCCUCCUACCCCCAGGGAGGCUGAAGCCAGCUCUCCAUGGGCACGAAACCUGGAACCCAGGACCCUGGGGGGCAGGGCUAUGCUGGACUAGAGAAGACACAGGUGGCCAAAGCUGGACCCAGCCCUCAGGGAACAGAUAACCUGCGUGAGAAACAAAUAAUUGAUUCUGCCCUUUAUCCCUCCCGGGCCAGCACGGAGGGGUUCAGCCAAUGACUGGGAAUUGAAUGAAAAACCAAAGAGAACAGCCAUGAGAUCUGUCUGCUAUGGGUGGGAAAGCAGAUGGGAGAGUGAGAAGGGCUUCAAGGAGAAGGUGAUAUGUGAACAGGGCAUAAAUGGAUGAAUAGGAGUUUGCCAGGCACAGAAAGGGAAGGACAUUCCAGGGGAAGCAGGCAGAGGCCUGGCAAGGCAAAGGCCAGGAGGAUUGCAAGUAAAGUCAUGGUAUGAGCAGAAAACAAGAGAGGUCCAGUUGCCCAUGGCAUAGGAGAGGGGACAGGCCAAGAGGGUAGUGGGUAAGCACUGUUUUCCCUGCCCAGCAUCCAUCUCUCACUCUGGUGACUGUCCCUCAGUUUUCUAGUCUCCAGUGUGACUGGCC
rnacentral:lncRNA from 10 species